rnacentral:rRNA from 1 species
ACUCCUACGGGAGGCAGCAGUGGGGAAUUUUCCGCAAUGGGCGAAAGCCUGACGGAGCAAUACCGCGUGAGGGAGGAAGGCUCUUGGGUUGUAAACCUCUUUUCUCAGGGAAGAACAGAAUGACGGUACCUGAGGAAUAAGCAUCGGCUAACUCCGUGCCAGCAGCCGCGGUAAUAC